GCAAGCUGCAGCCAGGGGUACAUGAAUUGUUGUGCCCAUCUGAUCUUAUCUCACCUGUCCUUCAAUUCAAGGCAGUCUGGUGUAAGCUACGAACAUGCGCGUUCCAAGUCCAGUGGAAGACUCGACGCAAAAAAGUUAAUCUGACGUUGUUCGUAUUAAACAACUUCUAUGUUUUUAAACUAGGCUAUUGUUAAUCAUUCUUCAGAUUUCCAUUUUUGGAUCCAGUCGGGGGGAAAAAAAGGAAAAUGACUGAUAAACUACAGCAAGUCCAACAGGAUGUGGAGGAGGUGAAAGUGCUUAUGGUGGAGAAUGUCAAUAAAGCUGAUGAACGUGGGGACAAGCUAACCGAUCUGGAUGAACGUGCUGCGAAACUUCUCAACAGUAGCCAUAGCUUCCACAAGCAGUCAAAGAAAGUCCUAGUCAAGCAGAAAAGGGAGAAUCUGAAGGGCAAGAUUGGAAUCAUAGCCAUUGUGGUGGUACUGUUCCUGAUAAUCAUCAUAGUGGCCAUUGUCAUGCUCAGUACCUCAGACGGAGGCCCUACAACCGCAUCCAACAAUGCCAUCACUCCCAUGCCAACUGAAUCAAGUGGACGUAACUGAACAGCUCAGAGGAGCUGAGCUGGUAAAGACUGGUAAAGGGAAGAUGCUGCUCUAUUUGACACAAUUUAUCUGUGUCGUGGGAGCAGAUAUAUUCCCUUGUGUUUUCUUGGGAGUCUCAUGCUGUUAUAUGUAAACAUGGCCUUAACGGAUCUGAGCUCGGGGGAGAUUUUUGUUAUCCAUCCUCGAUGGUGACCUUACUCAGAAGGUCAGUGUGAGGACAAGUACACCAUCUUGAACCAGUGUGUAUUUACCCAACAACAAAGGUGACACACUUUAUAAUACUCACUUAAAAAGACAUUCUAUGGAGCCUCUAAGGGGACACAUUUUUUGUGCGAACACAAAAAAAACACAUGUUUGGCAAGCAUGUGAGAGUUUCUGGUGUGCACCAGAAAUUUACAAAAUAAUCUUUUUGCCCGUAUCUUCUUGGGGGCUGUGAAUUUCUGGUGAGCACAAGAAAGUUCUGGUGCGCACCAGAAACUCCAAAACAAUUUUUUCCCCCACAUGUCCCUUUAGGGGCUCCGUGACUGUGACUUGCACAAAAUAGAGCACUGGUACUGAGCGCCCAAGUUUAAUGAUUAAAUAGUGAUAUUAGUGCCCAAGUUUAAUGAUUAAAUAGUGUUGGUUCCCCUUCAGCAGGGGAGUUUUUAACACUCUAAGAUUCUGUUCCGCAACAAUGUAAGGUUCUAAAAUUCCAUGUUGAAUUCAAGUCUGAUAUACUUAAGGGCAUCAUUUUCAACAUUCCUGUCACACCGGUGUGAUGGUACUGGCUGAAGCAAGUCUAUGUAAUGUGGUGCAAAGCCCAGAUGUAUACAGGGAUACAGCCUUCUCAUUCGAGUAAUAGGACUGUGGGUGCAUUAGCAUAUUGAAAUGCAUUAAUACAAGUUUGGGUGUGGAUAUGAUCUGUGGAAUCUAUGGUACUCUUAUGUUUUUAUGUAUUUGAAUGUAUUAUAUAUGUACACAACAGGACAAGGAUCACAUGACAGGUUUUUGAGCAAUGGUAGAGUAUUUUUUGAGCAUGGUAUAUCCUCAUUUAAUGGAUAGUUAAGCAAAGCAAUAUUCUUAAUCUAUUGUCCCCAGAUAACAAGAGGCUGGCAGACCACUGUCGGUCCAUUGGGGGCAUAGCUGGCGGUCCGCUGGCAUUUUGCUUAUCGGUUCUCUGGCGGUCCGCUGGCGGGUUGCAGACA